rnacentral:rRNA from 1 species
AGCGUAGACGGAUGGACAAGUCUGAUGUGAAAGGCUGGGGCUCAACCCCGGGACUGCAUUGGAAACUGCCCGUCUUGAGUGCCGGAGAGGUAAGCGGAAUUCCUAGUGUAGCGGUGAAAUGCGUAGAUAUUAGGAGGAACACCAGUUGCGAAGGCGGCUCUCUGGACUGUAACUGACACUGAGGCACGAAAGCGUGGGAGCAAACA